CCUGCGUGCUCGCUGUCCCUGUUCCUGUUCCUGGAGCACUGUUCCUGCCGCCCUUUGCCCAGCCGUUGCCUUGCACCCCUCAUCGGGAGGCCUUUGGUGGCCAUGUGCCCUCUCUCUCCGGCCUCUGUUGUUUCCCUCCCAGAAUCUGCCACCAUUGAUAACGAUCUUCUGAACCUGCCUCUUUACAACGUUCCCUAAGGACAGAAUGCAAGCUUCCUGCAGCCAGUGAAGCCCACAAACGUAUCCUCAGGGCCCAGCACAAGGACUGGCACACAAGGACCCCGACCGUGACUUGCUGAACGAGAUGAGGUCUCACUGUGUUGCCUAGGUUGGUCUUGAACUCCUGGACUCAAGCAAUCCACCCACUUCGACUCCCAAAGUGCUGAGAUUACAGGUUUGAACCACCGCGCCUGUCCCAAAGCCUGCUUUUCUUGAGCUUUGGUUCUGUUGGCAAAACUGAGCCCAGACAGUCAACUCUCUUCAUCAACCUCCCACCAGCAUUUUCUGUGGUUCCACCCCUCUCCUGCAAGGAUGGUGACAGUAACAUUAAGAGGACGUAACAUUCAUUGAACGCUCGAUACUCAUGCUGAGGGAAGCCAGCUUCCAUGUUGUAAGGAUGCUGAAGCAGCACUGUGGAGAUCCAUGUGGCAAGGAGCCGAGGCCUCUGCCAGCAGCCAGCGCCAGUCUGCCAGCGAGAUGAGCAAGCCGUCUUGCAGGUGGAUCCUCUAACUGCAGUCAAGCCUUCAGCUGAAUCUCGACUACAACCUCAUGAGAGAUUCUGACUCAGAACCAUCCAGUUAAGCAGUUCCUGAAUUCCUGGCCCAUAGAGACUAUGCUGAGAUAAUACAUUUUUAUUGUUGUUGUUUGGAGACAGAGUCUCCCUAUGUCACCCAGGCUGGAGUGCAGUAGCACAAUUUUGGCUCACUGUAGCCUCGACCUCCGAGCUUAAGUGAUCCUCCCACCUCAGCCUCCCAAGUAGCUGGGACCACAGGUGCAUGACACCAUGCCCGGCUAAUUUUUAAAAAUUUCUUGUAGAGAUGGGGGUCUCCAUGUUGCCCAGGCUAGUCUCGAACUCCCAGGCUCAAGUGAUCCUCCCACCCUGACCUCCCAAAGUGCUGGGAUUACAGGCAUGAGCCACCAUGCCUGGCCUUUUAUUGUUGUUUUAAGCUGCUGAUUUUGGGGGAUGAUUUGUUACCCAGGUAACUACUACAAGGCCUAGCACUCCUCUUGGGAGGAUAGGGUCCCUGUGUUACCUGAAUCAGAGAUAUAUGGAACAUUGGUAACGAAUGAAGUUCCUAAAAUUUGCCCAGACACCCUGAAUUGAAGUGGAAGGGGAUGGACAGGGCGAGAGUCUGCCUUUUUCAUGAGCCCCCCGAGCGAUUCUCAUGUAUCUCUGAGGCUGAGAAUUACUGAGACAAUCUAAUACCUUCCAGACCCGGGGAGGCUCAGAGAGCUGAUGGGAUGGUCCCCAUCCUACACACAAGCUGAGGCAGGCCUGAGCCUAGAACCCAGCACCUGACUCCUGGGUCAAUGCUCUUUCUGCCUUGUCCAUUCAGAUUGCUUUGUUGAGGGGCACGGGCUUUUUUUUGUUUAUUUAUAUUUAAAAUCUGUAUAUAGCAAAAUGCGACACAGCCAAUUGUUUGUCUGCUUAAGAGCUUGCUUUGCUUUGCUUUGCCUGUGAACAAUUUUGUCAGCAUCACCCAUUAUGAGGGCCUAACACUAAGAAGGGUAGGGCAGUGCUAGGCCACGCAGAGAGGCUGGCACUGCCGCAGAACACCGCAGCGGGAAACGGACUUUUUCUACCACUGAGCUGUCUCAGCUCCAGGCAUUUCCCCCAGACGAACAGAAUGCAGAGUAUGCAAGGCAGAGAAGAUGAAUGAGGAUAAUAAGGGAGUGUACCUUUAACCCUUGUCAAACUGUCACUCUAGUAGGUAAGAAUAAUAUUCCCACUUUCAUUUGUAUAGAACUUUGUGGCUUAGAAAGAAUUCAUGCAUGAUCUUAUUGAAUGACUUUUGUAGACUACAAGAUAGAUAGGUCAUUCAGUCAUUCAUGCUACACAUGUAUUGAGCAGCUACUACAUACCAGGUAAUGCUGUAGGCACAGGGGAUAUACAGAUUUGUUUCCUUGCUUAAUAAAUAUUUAUAUAUGUCUACUA